UGACAGUUUCACGAUGUCUCGAAAGCUGUCCUUCUCAACUAUAUACACGGGAGCCAUGCCUUUACAGAUGCAACGCGAGAUGGCACAUGUGAUUUGUUUAUGGCGCUGGGACGCCUUCUCAUAUGGCGUACCUUGUGCGAAAGACUGCUUUAUCUUCGGCUGGCUAUAGUUUUUCUUUUCGCAACUUGCCCCCGCUGUUCCACUUGGUUUAGCUCGGAUUUUUUGGAUUGUCAUGUAUUCUUUUUCGUGGACCUUCUUAAGGUGAUAGAAGAGGUUUGUUGUGUUGGCAUCGGGCGCAGGAAUAGUCUUUUGGCAUAGUUUGCAU